CGGGUGAGUAAUGCGUGACCGACCUGCCCCAUGCUCCAGAAUAGCUCUUGGAAACGGGUGGUAAUGCUGGAUGCUCCAACUUGACGCAUGUCUUGUUGGGAAAGUGUUUAGUGGCAUGGGAUGGGGUCGCGUCCUAUCAGCUUGUAGGCGGGGUAAUGGCCCACCUAGGCUUCGACGGGUAGCCGGCCUGAGAGGGCGGACGGCCACAUUGGGACUGAGAUACGGCCCAGACUCCUACGGGAGGCAGCAGAU
rnacentral:rRNA from 1 species